GUCUAUGACCUCCACCUUUCUGAACAAUUUUUCAAACCUAAAGCUUUUCUGAAAAAUUUCCCAAACCUAACUCACAUUUUUUCCAACAUUUCACUCCUCUCCCCCUUCUCUAUUUCGUCCGAGCAUUUUCCCCUUUUCGUCUUCACACAAACCUUUGUCAAACCUAAGUUCAAAAAACUUCUGAAUUUCUUUCCCCCAUUUCCUACCUUUCUUCUUUGGGCUAGCUAUUCUAUAGUUCCUUCGUGGUUUGUCUGUCUCCUCAUUUUAGCGUGGUCCUUUAGGUUAUCAUCUUCCUUAGCCCAUUAUCGUUCGUGGUCUCCGUUCUCAAAUCAUUGGUGGUUUCUGUCGCCGUUACAGUGCUCUCUGUUGCCAUCCACUUUUGCCACUGUUGUGGUCUCAGUUGCCCUGGCCGUUGCGGUGGCUGUUUCGUCGUCAAUGGUCAUGAUUGCCCUAGUCGUUGCGGUCGUCUUCUGCCCCUAAGAUUCAACAGGGUCUUCCAGCUAAUAUACUUGAAGGUAUCCAUGGUUGGGAACUCAGGACAGCUUUCCUGGACCAGGAUUUUUGCGGUGGAUGGAGAAAAUGGAUGAAGGCAGGGAACCUAUGAAGAAAGUUGCCAAUUAAUCAAAGCAAGAUCAAUCGUGGAAUGAUUCAAGUUGCCAUUUUUUCCACUUGAAGACAGAGAGAGGCCACAUUGCAUAUUACACAAUUUUUAAAGUCUGAAGAUUUUGUCUUAGCUUAUGCUCUUGUUAAGUCUAGUUGAAUUUCUUUAAACAUCAUGUAUUUUUUUUAUAUUUGUAUUGUAAUAGUCAAUAAAUGUAUUUUAUCUUAA